rnacentral:rRNA from 1 species
GAUGAACGCUGGCGGCGUGCCUAAUACAUGCAAGUCGAGCGAACGGACGAGAAGCUUGCUUCUCUGAUGUUAGCGGCGGACGGGUGAGUAACACGUGGAUAACCUACCUAUAAGACUGGGAUAACUUCGGGAAACCGGAGCUAAUACCGGGUAAUAUUUUGAACCGCAUGGUUCAAAAGUGAAAGACGGUCUUGCUGUCACUUAUAGAUGGAUCCGCGCUGCAUUAGCUAGUUGGUAAGGUAACGGCUUACCAAGGCAACGAUGCAUAGCCGACCUGAGAGGGUGAUCGGCCACACUGGAACUGAGACACGGUCCAGACUCCUACGGGAGGCAGCAGUAGGGAAUCUUCCGCAAAGGGCGAAAGCCUGACGGAGCAACGCCGCGUGAGUGAUGAAGGUCUUCGGAUCGUAAAACUCUGUUAUUAGGGAAGAACAUAUGUGUAAGUAACUGUGCACAUCUUGACGGUACCUAAUCAGAAAGCCACGGCUAACUACGUG